UUGUUUUAAACACUAUAGUUGGCAUCUCUAUUCUUCAAGUAUUCUCGCGGUAUUUCAAAAACGACACCCUACUGUUUAUGUAUCAGAAUUUGUGACGUAUUUUCCAUUCGCUCUCAGAAAGAAGUUUUACGUUUGAUCAUGAGCAAUAUUCUGAAGCUGUUCUGCCAAGGCAAGAGCUGGGCAUUAUACAAGCCAUUAUAUCCAGCAAAACUGACAGUUUUGGUUUACAGAAAUCAACAAAGGAGGGAUUCCCGAACUAUCAAAAUUUCCAAGCUAUACACACAGUUAUUAUCUGUGGUGAUCUUUAUUGGUUCUGUUUGUUUACUUGGAUGGAACAUGUGUGAACUUUUAUAGAACUUUGAAAAGUCUAUAUAUGUCUAUCUAUAAACAAAAAUCAGCUAUGGUAUAAUAAGAUCAGAUGUGCAAACAAUGUCAAAGGGUUGUUAAAUUAACAAUUUGAAGGCAAUUAUGCUGAAAAAAUAUGAAAAGUUUCCAUGCAAAUUUUGUCUGUAUAUCGACAAGUGUCUGCCGAUUAUUGUCAAACUAGUAAUACAAAACUUACCACAAGUAUGUAAAAGCACUAAGUACCAGUGAUCAUUUUUAGUAAGAUAGUGUAAUUCUAAACAGUAGCAAAUAGCUUGUUUAGUAAAUGCAUAAUGCAAUUAAUAUGAUUUCCGUUGUAUUGUGUAAUUAAUAAAUUGGUUGUUAUACUUGUUAAUCCAUGAUAAAUGUUUUAUGGCUAGUGCAAAACCAGCAAUGUUAAUUUUGUAAAAGGUAAUACAAUAACACCACUUUGUAAUUUCAUAUACGUAAAUAUUCUUGAAAUGUAGGUUGAUGAGUUUUACUUAUUUUGUAACUAUUAUUUUAUGUGCAAAUAAAUGAUGUGAAGUGUUUUGUAUAUCCACACAAUACCACAUAUCUUUUUAUAUAUGUACUGUAUUAUGUGUUAUUUGAAUGUUUAAAUAAAUAAAUAUGGAUGAUAUAA